rnacentral:rRNA from 1 species
UACGGAGGGUGCAAGCGUUAUCCGGAUUCACUGGGUUUAAAGGGUGCGUAGGAGGGCAGGUAAGUCAGUGGUGAAAUCUUCGAGCUUAACUCGGAAACUGCCGUUGAUACUAUCUGUCUUGAAUACCGUGGAGGUGAGCGGAAUAUGUCAUGUAGCGGUGAAAUGCUUAGAUAUGACAUAGAACACCAAUUGCGAAGGCAGCUCACUACACGAAUAUUGACACUGAGGCACGAAAGCGUGGGGAUCAAACAGG